CUUCUUCUCCUUUAGUCGUUCGUUCUUUGGCACAUGCAAACCAAGUUCUGGUUGCAUGAGUUCAUAGUCUCGUUCUGAAUCAUUUUGGUCUGUUGUUUGGUUUAGUUUGAAGAAUUGUUGAGCAUUGAGGAUAGAAGGAAUUUUAGUUAGGCAAACCGUAUUCUGUCUCUAGGAACAUUUGUUCACGCUCAGAAAAAGAGACGAGCUGUUGGAAUAGGCGCUGGAAGAAGAAAAUCUAGUUGAGGUAGAAGUUAAGACUGAACAGUAGAACGUUUAGUCAAUACAAACAACCUGAUUGUAAGGUGGUCGUUCGAUCACCUUCUUCUUUUGUUUUGAUUGACCGUUCGAUAUAGGUUUUUGUAAACCGUUCGGUCAGACUUGCUUAUCUUGUACAGUUUAAUUUGUAACCCUUUCUGUAAGGCCGUUCGGCCAUAACUGUAUGCUCUAAUUUAGUGUAAGACUGAUCUGUAUUAUUAUUUAAUGUGAAUAUUCUAUUAUAUA